rnacentral:rRNA from 1 species
CACGUAGGGCGCAAGCGUUGUCCGGAAUUAUUGGGCGUAAAGAGCUCGUAGGCGGUCUGUUGCGUCCGCUGUGAAAACCCGGGGCUUAACCCCUGGCUUGCAGUGGAUACGGACAGACUAGAGGUAGGCAGGGGAGAAUGGAAUUCCUGGUGUAGCGGUGAAAUGCGCAGAUAUCAGGAGGAACACCGGUGGCGAAGGCGGUUCUCUGGGCCUUACCUGACGCUGAGGAGCGAAAGCAUGGGGAGCAAACAGG